AUGAAACCCCGCAACCACACAGGCAGCCCGCCAAACUCCCCGAAUACACAACCUUCACAAACCCUGACACUACUACUACGCCAAGUGACUCCCCACGAGAACACCUCGACACAAGACAUCAAGCACCUCCAAACCCACAACGACAACCCAAACCAAGAGGACAAGCCGAGAGACCGAAGAUCAUCCAUCAAGCAGUCGAGACACCUUGCCUUUGGCAUCACUUUUUUCCUUUGCCCACCUUCUUUUGUUUUGCCCCUUACUGGAGUUCCCGUCAGGUGGCAAGCAAUCGACCUGCCCAAACCAGGUCUAGCAACCUCCACGCUGGUUAGCAAAUCACAAAGUUUCUUCGCAAAAAGAGGAUUUGGAUUUGGAGUAGGUGCCAACACAAGUGGCUCAAAUGGUCAUGCCACUCACAGGCAUCACCUGCCCGACGAUCGCAGACGAGGCAAGGGUAGCAACAUCUAA
rnacentral:rRNA from 1 species